rnacentral:rRNA from 1 species
CGGAGGAUCCAAGCGUUGUCCGGAUUCAUUGGGUUUAAAGGGUGCGUAGGCGGAGAAUUAAGUCAGUGGUGAAAGCUUACAGCUUAACUGUAAAAAUGCCAUUGAAACUGAUUUUCUUGAGUUCGAUUGAGGUAGAUGGAAUGUAUCAUGUAGCGGUGAAAUGCUUAGAUAUGAUACAGAACACCAAUUGCGAAGGCAGUCUACUAAGUCGAUACUGACGCUGAGGCACGAAAGCAUGGGGAGCAAACAGGAUUAGAUACCCUGGUAGUCCAUGCCCUAAACGUUGAUUACUCGUUGUUGGCGAUACACUGUCAGCGACUAAGCGAAAGCGUUAAGUAAUCCACCUGGGGAGUACGAUCGCAAGGUUG